GAUGAAGAACGCAGUGAAAUGCGAUAAGUAAUGUGAAUUGCAGAAUUCAGUGAACCAUCGAAUCCUUGAACGCACAUUGCGCCCGGCAGUAAUCUGCCGGGCAUGCCUGUCCGAGCGUCAUUUCUACCCUCGAGCGAGUCCAGCAUCUAGGUGCUGGGCCUCGCCCGGCGUUGGAGCACUACGGGAAGCCCUGUGCUGUCCCCCGUAGGCCCCGAAAUGAAGUGGCGGUCCUGCCGCGGCGCCCCCUGCGUAGUAUAACAGCUCGCUUCGGGACCCGGUGGAGGCCUGCCGUCAAACCUAUACUCUCUAAGUUUGACCUCGGAUCAGGUAGGGUUACCCGCUGAACUUAAGCAUAUCAAUAAGCGGAGGA
rnacentral:misc_RNA from 1 species